rnacentral:rRNA from 1 species
GACGAACGCUGGCGGCGUGCUUAACACAUGCAAGUCGAACGGAAAGGCCCUGCUUUUGUGGGGUGCUCGAGUGGCGAACGGGUGAGUAACACGUGAGUAACCUGCCCUUGACUUUGGGAUAACUUCAGGAAACUGGGGCUAAUACCGGAUAGGAGCUCCUGCUGCAUGGUGGGGGUUGGAAAGUUUCGGCGGUUGGGGAUGGACUCGCGGCUUAUCAGCUUGUUGGUGGGGUAGGGGCUUACCAAGGCUUUGGCGGGUAGCCGGCCUGAGAGGGUGACCGGCCACAUGGGGACUGCGAUACGGCCCAGACUCCUACGGGAGGCAGCAGUGGGGAAUAUUGCACAAUGGGCGGAAGCCUGAUGCAGCAACGCCGCGUGCGGGAUGACGGCCUUCGGGUUGUAAACCGCUUUCGCCUGUGACGAAGCGUGAGUGACGGUAAUGGGUAAAGAAGCACCGGCUAACUACGUG